rnacentral:misc_RNA from 1 species
GAUGAAGAACGUAGCGAAAUGCGAUACUUGGUGUGAAUUGCAGAAUCCCGUGAACCAUCGAGUCUUUGAACGCAAGUUGCGCCCGUAGCCAUUAGGCCGAGGGCACGCCUGCCUGGGCGUCACACGUCGUUGCCCCCCCCAUCUACUCCUUCGGGAUUGCGGGGGGCGGAUGAUGGCCUCCCGUGCGCCUCGCCGCGCGGUUGGCAUAAAUGCCAAGUCCUCGGCGACGCACGCCACGACAAUCGGUGGUUGCGAAACCUCGGUUGCCCGUCGUGUGCGGUCGUCGCGCAUCGAGGGCUCGAAAAAAUUGCCGAGUUCCGGCUCGGCUUUCAACGCGACCCCAGGUCAGGCGGGGUUACCCGCUGAAUUUAAGCAUAUCAAUAAGCGGAGGA